rnacentral:lncRNA from 1 species
UUUAACCUCUUAUUCGUUUUAUUUCUUUCUAUUUUUAGAUUACAACUUUUGUGCAUAUAUAGAUCUUGAAGGGCCAGGUAUAAUUGUGUGUGUGUGUGUGUGUGUGUUUGUGUGCUUUUAUUUGCUUCAUCACUCUAAGCCAUUAGCCAUCGGUGGUCGGACUGUCAGGCCUCCGCUGGUCAUAUAGUGGUUCGGACCGUCUGCCCAAGGAUAAGAACCUGUUGCCAUCCAGUGGCAAAUCAACUAUUAGCUCUUUCCGACUAAAAAUAACAAAUGUAAAAAAGGGAUUGUUUGGAGUAGCUAGAUCUGACCUGUUUGAUGGAGAAUCCGUGUUGCAAAAAACUGUGUUUGAGGAGCCUCUGCUUUCCUAGAAGUAUCCCAUAAUUCUCUUGAUCUUCCAUUAAAAGGGAAAGUUAAAGCAAUAACAACACAAAAAACCCAUACCAAUACACAUCUCUUUAAGCCCAUUUUUGCUUUAUUUGUUAGGGAAACACUCAAAAGGUAGAGUCCUUUAUAUAGUCAUCAGCAGCAGCAGAAGUUGGGUAAAAGUACCAUGGAGGCUCUUAUAUUAGUAGCCGGAUGGUAUUUUGUCCUCUCUACUAAAAAAAAUAGAUAAAGUAGUCCUUAUACGUUAGAUUAAAGACCAAAUUAAUUCUCUUGUUAAAAAUUUCACUGUUAAAAUUAAACAUU